rnacentral:rRNA from 1 species
GAUGAACGCUGACAGAAUGCUUAACACAUGCAAGUCUACCAAGAAUCACUUCGGUGAGGAAUGGUGGCGGACGGGUGAGUAACGCGUAAAUAAUCUGCCCUUUAGACUGGGAUAUCCUUUGGAAACGAAGGUUAAUACCGGAUAUUAUGAGAUGGACGCAUGUUCAACUUAUGAAAGCUAAAUGCACUAGAGGAGGAGUUUGCGUCCCAUUAGCUAGUUGGUGAGGUAAAGGCUCACCAAGGCCACGAUGGGUAGCCGGCCUGAGAGGGUGAACGGCCACAAGGGAACUGAGACACGGUCCUUACUCCUACGGGAGGCAGCAGUGGGGAAUAUUGGACAAUGGACCAAAAGUCUGAUCCAGCAAUUCUGUGUGCACGAUGAAGGUCUUCGGAUUGUAAAGUGCUUUCAGUAGGGAAGAAAAAAAUGACGGUACCUACAGAAGAAGCGACGGCUAAAUAUGUGCCAGCAGCCGCCGUAACAC